rfam:Lachnospiraceae bacterium 3-2 genomic scaffold acPFJ-supercont1.1, whole genome shotgun sequence.
GUCGCUAUAGCUCAGCAGGAUAGAGCGACCGCCUCCUAAGCGGUAGGCCGGAGGUUCGAAUCCUCUUAGCGACG